CGACGGGAGGUAGCAGUGAGGAAGAGUGGCCAAGGGGCGAGAGCCGGAACCAGUCAAGGCGGGUGAGGGAAGACGGUCCUAGGGAUUGUAAACCUCUUUUGUCGGGGAGCAAAAAGGCCUCGUGAGGCCACAAGUGAGAGUACCCGAAGAAAAAGCAUCGGCAAACUCCGUGCCAGCAGCCGCGGUAAUACGGAGGAUGCGAGCGUUAUCCGGAUUUAUUGGGUUUAAAGGGUGCGUAGGCGGACUGGAAAGUCAGCGGUAAAAUCGAGAGGCUCAACCUCUUUCCGCCGUUGAAACUGGCGGUCUUGAGUGGGCGAGAAGUAUGCGGAAUGCGUGGUGUAGCGGUGAAAUGCAUAGAUAUCACGCAGAACUCCGGUUGCGAAGGCAGCAUACCGGCGCCCGACUGACGCUGAGGCACGAAAGCGUGGGUAUCGAACAGGAUUAGAUACCCGUGUAGUC
rnacentral:rRNA from 1 species